rnacentral:rRNA from 1 species
GACGAACGCUGGCGGCGUGCUUAACACAUGCCAGUCGAACGGAAGGGCCCUGCUUUUGUGGGGUGCUCGAGUGGCGAACGGGUGAGUAACACGUGAGUAACCUGCCCUUGACUUUGGGAUAACUUCAGGAAACUGGGGCUAAUACCGGAUAGGAGCUCCUGCUGCAUGGUGGGGGUUGGAAAGUUUCGGCGGUUGGGGAUGGACUCGCGGCUUAUCAGCUUGUUGGUGGGGUAGUGGCUUACCAAGGCUUUGACGGGUAGCCAGCCUGAGAGGGUGACCGGCCACAUUGGGACUGAGAUACGGCCCAGACUCCUACGGGAGGCAGCAGUGGGGAAUAUUGCACAAUGGGCGGAAGCCUGAUGCAGCAACGCCGCGUGCGGGAUGACGGCCUUCGGGUUGUAAACCGCUUUCGCCUGUGACGAAGCGUGAGUGACGGUAAUGGGUAAAGAAGCACCGGCUAACUACGUG